rnacentral:rRNA from 1 species
UACGUAGGAGACGAGCGUUGCUCGGAAUUACUGGGCGUAAAGCGCACGUAGGCGGCUUUCUAAGUCGGGGGUGAAAUCCUGGAGCUCAACUCCAGAACUGCCUUCGAUACUGGAGAGCUCGAGUCCGGGAGAGGUGAGUGGAACUGCGAGUGUAGAGGUGAAAUUCGUAGAUAUUCGCAAGAACACCAGUGGCGAAGGCGGCUCACUGGCCCGGUACUGACGCUGAGGUGCGAAAGCAUGGGGAGCAAACAGG